rnacentral:rRNA from 1 species
GUCGAGAAUCUUCCGCAAUGCGCGAAAGCGUGACGGAGCGACACCGCGUGAUGGAUGAAGUCCUUCGGGGCGUAAACAUCUUUUAUAAAGGAGGAAAUUUUUGACGUUACUUUAUGAAUAAGGGGCUCCCAAUCUCGUGCCAGCAGGAGCGGUAAUACGAGAGCCUCAAGCGUUAUCCGGAAUCAUUGGGCGUAAAGGGUGCGUAGGUGGUUUGAUUAGUCUCCCGUUAAAACUUCGAGCUUAACUCGAAAAGAGCGGGGGAAACGGUCAAACUAGAGUAUGUGAGAGGUGUGUGGAACUCAUGGUGUAGGGGUGAAAUCCGUUGAUAUCAUGGGGUACACCAAAAGCGAAGGCAGCACACUGGCACAUCACUGACACUGAGGCACGAAACCUAAGGUAGCGAAUGGGAUUAGAUACCGGGUAGUCC